rnacentral:lncRNA from 1 species
CCCGGCUGGGGAAGCGCGUGGUGCCCUCGCGGGGUGCCCGCACCGCCCGCAGCUCCGCCGCCCGCUCCUUUGCGUGUGCUGCAGUUGCCAGAGGAGUGAUGGGGGCUUUCAAGGGUGUGUGAUGGGGGUGCCACCACAGCCACGCAGCUGCCAGAGGGCAGUGGAAACGUGGAGGAGGAAAAUUAAGCUGUGAACUGGAAUUCCAUCAGGCUGUCUGCCGUGAAGCCCUGCGGCUUUAGCAAACAGGCAGCAGUGGUCAGAAAUGACACUCAAAAGAACUGUCUGCAUUAAUAACAAGUACCUCCACUUGGAAAUUAUUUACAUGAAACAUUGUUCUCACAUCACUGCUACUGACAGCGGCUCCGGACUGGGUGAGAGAAGGACACCGUGAUGAAUUUACCCAUACCUACCUUACUGUGCUGCGUGAGACGAGGAGAGCUCAAAGACUUCAGAGAAGUUUGAAACCUUAAUCCCUGAAUAAUGCCUCCACCUGCCUCCUGGUUUUCUUUGGGGACUUUCCAGCGCUGGCCAGUCCUGACCCUAUCUGACUUCAGGGACAAUCCCAGUGUCUUGGGCUCCGAAAAAAGAGUGAAACAGUGACUGGAAAUGGUGCACUCAGCAAGGCUGAUCAUGGGUGCAGCGAAAGCGGUACCUGACCAUGUUAACACCUCCAUCAGGUGCAGGAGCUCAAGGGAGAAGAAUCUCCAGGAACAGAUUUUGACCUCAAGACUAAGGCACGUUACGUGUGUGAAGGCCCAGCACCGCUGCUACGAUCCACAGCACUGCUCCCACAUACUGCGUGAGUGAGGCCCUGCUGAUGUAAUAGUGGCCCGCAUAUGUCUCAUAUUAAUGGUAUUUUCCUAAUAGUAAUAGCAUUAAAGCCUGCCUACCUGGCUAUUGAGUUACCUUAUUUAGGGUAAUUUGCCCAAAAGCCUAUCCUGGAGCAUGUGAACAACCGUAUCAUUUUAUAACACUUAGCUUUAAGAUAUCAGAAAUCAAAGCAGGCAGACAGUCUGAUUCCAGAACUAGUAGUUUUCCAUUUAAAAAAACAAAAACUGUUGUGUUUCUUGAAUAAUUUAUUAUCUGGGUUUCUGUUGCAUUUUCCACAUGGAAUUGAUGAAGAAAAAUUUUUUCUAAAGAAAGUUCGGAUGAGUGAAAAUUCACACAUGGAAAACAAAUGAGCAUCGGGAAGCACUCCUCAUAGCUAAUGGCUACUUGGUCUGGUGCCAGAAUUCAUACAGAUCCUUAAAAUCAAGUAAAUUAUGCCCGCAGUGAUAGCUCCCUUUUGCUGGAGUCCCACAACAAGCACCAAAUGGUGGAGCGGCACAGAACUGCCAAAUUCCAUUUUUCACCUCCCAGUUCCUUUCAGCUGAGCAGCAUCAUUCGCAGCAGAAGGGCCCAUGCAUUUUUUACAGCUCCCCUCCCAGCUGCGUGUGCAGGGCCCGAUCCUGCCUAUGGCACAGGGCUCUGAGGGCAGCGCCUGCCGCGGGGUCAGCAUGUCAGUGAAUGGCAGCGGUGGUGGCAAUCUGACACACGUGUCUUCCCACGGAAGGGAGUGGAAAGAAUUGGGUCUUGAAAAGGAAAUAAUUGUAAAACAAAAGUGUACUUCUCUCACUUUGUCCUUUUGAUAAGAUCGCUUGCUGAGCUCAGAGGUUAGGAGAUGUGCAGCUUGCCAUGCGCCAGAUUAACAACUGCUGAAUUCUGUGCUAGAAAACUCGGCUGGAUUACACAAAUAUCUGUUAAGACAAGGAUAAAUAUUUAUAAACAGUCUUCCUUGCAGAACAUGUCUCCAUCAUUCAUUUCCCCGUGAUGAAAUAUCUGGAACAAUGGAACUAAUGACUACAUUGUUCCAAAGUUAAAUCGUAUAUCUAAUAAGGAAAAUACUAAAAUGAGCCAAAUUCUUUAUGAACACAACAGCGAAGCAAUUAAAAUAAAUGUGAUUUUCCAGAUCAAAACUUCUGGCUGUUAAUUGCUAGAUGGCACCUAUCCUAGUCAUAUGAGUUUCCCUCGCAGCUGUUUUUAUUUCACGAUACAUUCUGGGCUCCCCAGAGCUGUGCUGAGCUCGGACGUGGCGGCAUCGCGCCCGGACAGCUGCGCGGGGCUGCGGGGCUCAUGGAUGCACUGCUGGGACAGGCCUUGGGCCAGGUGCGCUCUCGCUGCUUGCCCUUUGCUUGCCCCGGGGUUCCAGUGGGGAUGAUGGGUGGGCACAAUGGCAUGCCCGCACCAAGCACACAGCACUGCUGCUCCCAGAAAGAGUAUUUUGGAGGAUAUACUUCAGUCAUACACUUUGUCCUAGUCACGGCAUCUGGCUGAGCUCAUACCCUUACCUCUUCGCCCUCUGCAUUUGACUUUUUUUUUUUUUUAAUUUGUUCAUGGGUGCCCUAGCACAGCAGCAGUGGGGCAGGGGCUGCAGCCCCAGCAGGACCAGGGCUCUUUAACCCACCCCACUCCAGAGCUGAAACUGCACACUGGAAAUCUGGCACGCUCCAGCCAGCUUUACUUGAAGCUGCACUUUGGUAUCUGUAGGUUAUUAAUGAGAUUAAAGAACUCUGUUACAGGGAAUGACAACUGCAGUUUGUCCAACAUUAAGCAGAUAUUGGCAUCCUUAGGUGUGAGUCGGGAGGCAGUGAUCUCAGAUAUUGAACGAGCUAAAGCCAUGAGCAAUAUGAUAUUGAUUAGACAAUGGGUAUUGUAUUUACCCACAUAGCUUUAUUGGGUGAGGCUCAAUGUGAUGUUUUUAUUUGGGAAACUUAAGAAAGAUAAUUAAAAAUGCUGUAAGGAGAGCCCAGCAGCCUUUGUGCUUUGCCUUUUAAAGGCUGCAGAUGUCCUGUCUUCUUUCUUUAAAACGGCAUGUGCUCCCUCUCCACCUUCCAAAAGAUCAAGGGUAAUAAUAACAACAAUAAUAAUACAGUGUCCUGGAAUUUUUCUACAUGCCUCAGGAGAACUUUAAUUUUUUCCAGAAACUGUUUUCUGACAACAGCCGCCCCGUGGACUUUUCCUGUUCCCCAGAAUGCAUUUCCAGUGCUGCUGCGGCCAAGUUAAAAUGGUGUCUUUUGGAUAUAAGGCCUUUUAUGUAGAAAACCUUUCUCUUGCUGAACAAAACCCUGCCUGCAGCGUGGGGCAACCCUGACCCGGUGAGCAGGUAGUGUUGUGCACUUUGAGCCUGUGCACCACGGGCAGCCCAGUGUGGCCUUGAUGACAGAAUUCGGGAGCCUUACUCGCAUCCACAGACGGCCCAGUGCUCGAAGCAUGCACAGAGGAUGCAUCCUGUCCACCUCUUCCGCUGUUUCUCCCAUCAGUUGCAUUCCCUUUCCCCAAGGGCUUUUUUCCAUUUUUUUAACUUUAUAAUCCCACAGCAAUGCCCAGCCCAGCUGCAUUCCCAUCUUGCAUCAGAAGGCUGACUCACUGCAGCGCUCAGCUCGGUUGCAUUUCCCUUCCAUGGGACAUGGGUCCACAUGGCUGCAGACAGGGCCUGGGCCUGGCACACAGCGAGGCAUGCACCCAGCUCAGGGCUGAGGCCAGCGCCCGUGUGCCACCCUCUUUGCCUCUGCCAAGGUCUUUCAAGCUGAGGUGUGAUGGCUCAGCCUUUCUCCUCCCUCCACGGAUGGCUGCUGCUGUAACUCCCCAAGCUUUUGGCCAUGGGCUGUUUAAUAUUUUCUUCCAGCUCAGCCAUCUCCAGUCACCAGAGCUGCUGCCGGCUCUACUCCCAUGGGUGAGGCAGCUUCUCACAGCCACCACUUCCUCUGCUCUUCAACCUGAUGCUUUCCAGCUCUGCGCUUUGCAAGGGGAGGCAAAGGAGCGUGUGCCGAGCCUCCAUCUGCACCACAUCACGGGAAUACAAAAUGGCACCGAAUCCUACUUUUCCUCAUUAGAUGUGGGCAAACUUGGCUGGAGCGCAAGUGCGAAAGCUCAUCUUUCUUCAGCUGCUUGUAAUUCAUGCUUGAGCAAGAGCAUUAUUUGGGGCUUAAGUCAGAGUCUUCUAAGUAGGUCACAGUUCUUCUAGACCCAAACUCCUGCAUAUGACUUCUGAGAAAUGCAGAUCCCUGUCCUCCUGAUUAGUGAAACACCUCAGGAGCCCUCUUUUCAGUUUUAUCAGCUCCUCAAAUGAAUCCAUAAAACAAAUAGUUACUAAGAAGUUGCUUCCUGCAUAGGGUUCAGACUUGGAAAAAUUCCUCUGCCUUGGGUGGCAGCCAUUUCUGUCUCAUUUGCAUGGCUAGUUUCUUGCAUUUUAAGGAUGCUCCACUGUAGCCAGGUAAAUGGAUGCACCCCGCAACUCCUCUAGUCUUUGCAUCAACAAGAGGACAAAAAGCUACGGAGAAGGCAAGGAAGCUCCAGCCUACAGGGGCUGUGCUGGCUGAAACACAUGCAGUGCAGUCCAUGCUGUAAAACAGCAUUCAUUUUAGUGGUGCAGAGGCUGAUUUGCCAAAUCAUCACAGCAUGUGUUAGAUGUUAAUCCUAGUCUUUAGAAUAGAACUACAGCUUCAGACACACCCGGAGAUAAAAUGAGGGAAAUACAAGAGCUCAACAAGAAGCAGAGUGAAGUGGAAUGGCACAGUGCAAGGAUGUGUUAAGAGCUCUUUGAGGCACUGGUGGCAUAAGUAAGUUUUCCUGGUAUUUCUGCAGGGCAGUUCUGAAUGCCUAUAGCAGCUCACCACCUGCGUUUGAAAAUGAUAGCAUUUGCUUUUUUCAGUCAUCUAGAAAUUAAGCUUUACCUCCUCCUUCAGUAGCAGGAUGAGUCUGGACUGCAGUGACAUGAGGGAGAAGUCAGAACCAAACAUACUCUAUAUCUCUCGCCGGAGGAGAAGAGUUGCAGUUAAGUCUGAUUUUAGUUGAGUCAUUUGGCCAGGGGAGAUUAUCCAUAGGUAUGGAUUGCAGUUGUCAGCAGCCACAUGUUGUUGGGGCAUUUCUUUGCAUUACGGUACUAUGCAUUUAGAUUUUUGCCCUUUACUGCUGCUUUAGUGUGCAAUGGUGAAGUGCUGGAGCUCAGCUCUGUGGCUGCAUUCGGAUCCCUGAAAUGAGCUCAAGUGCUAUUUUACCAUAGAAUACAGGAUGCCUUCGUGCUUUUAUGCUUUAUUUUUGAUUCUAUGAGGUUAUUUUAACUUCCUUGUCUGAAAAGAAACAAAAUGUUAGAUGUCUAAUUGAAUGGACUGCUGGAAAAGAUGCAUAAAAAGGUCUGGCACGUGAACUUCUGUGAAGCAAAUGCCUUUGUUUCCAAACAGGCCAGCGAUAACAAAUAUUUAUUGACAUUUUCCUUCCACAGGGGCGUUAACAAUUAUAAUUUGCUAGUACGUACCUCAUGAGUCCUUACAGGUUUUGAACAGAACAUCUGUUGGUCAAAGAUGAAAAAGAAGGUUGAAAAAAAAAUCUGUUUUUCCAGGGUUAUGAAACUAACAGCAUCACAAAUUAUCGCUAGGAAAACAGUUCAAAAGCCUGAACUUGCACUUGUGGAAAAAGGAACACAGAUAGAGGAAACAGAUAAAAACGCGUCGUGUUGGUAGGCUUUGUUUUCUGCAAUGAUGUAUUGUUCCAGCAAAGCGGUUAACAAACAAAUUAUUGUCUGCGUCCAAAACAGCCAAAUCUUUGGUUCCACUGAACAGAUGUUAAGGUGAAGCAGAUUAAAGCCAAAUUCACAAUAGGGCUGCUCCACAGGAAAGGUGCCCUAAGUUUAUCUAUUGUUAAAUAAUAUAAUUUAUCGUCUUAGAGGGCUACGGAGUGAUUUCUGUUCCUUUUCUACUUUUUGAACAAAGAUUUAUAACAUAGAUAAUCCCCAAUUUUAGAUAUUUGCUGCAGGUUAUAUUUGAAGGAAUUUCCCAAAAGACUGAUAACCCCUUUUUUUCCCUUAACCACAGUCAAACCAGUGAACUAAUAUGAUGCCUGCUUCAAAUAAAUGUAUUUGCUGCCUCUGUGCAUGAUAAGUUUUCAUUUAGUCUACGAUCAGCUGACAGUAUGCAAGUUUGCAGAUACCAGUAAUUGAAUACAGAUAACCUUGGUUGUUGACCUAUGCAGAGCCAUGGCUGUCUAGUUUCCAUUGUUUCUGUUUUUGCUAGUUGACACAAAACUGAUGUGGGCUGAAUUUAUAUAUUAGCCAUCCAUUAUAGUGGGAAUUGCUUAUCAUUGUGGAUGGAUAUUGCAAGAAGUUUCUAUUUAUUUAACCUAAUAAGAUGGCAGAAACGAACCUGAUUGGGCCCACUCAGGAUCAGAAUUAACCCUUAGUGGUCCAGUUAAUUGCUGCAUGGUUAACAAGUCAUGUAAAGGAUGCCUGCCUUAUUUCUAUUUUUUACAUAAUGAUUUUCUUUUCAGUUAGAGGGAUUAUUUCAUUUAGCAAACAAUCCUUGCCAUAUUGAGAAACUGAAUCUGAGGGUUGCAAAAGAGUCAGAUAGUGCCGGAUAUCUAAAUCCUCUUGACUUCUGGCCCCGGCCAAUGACCAUUCUCCCAGAGCUCAGUGGAAGCCCAGACUGAACAGACGGUGAGGUGGACGUUAGCACAUGGUGCCAGGGUCAGCGGUGGCACAGUCCCCAUCAGUGCUCCUCCAAGCUCUCAUACACUGGAGUCAGAUUGAGAUGUCUUUGGUUGUCUGCAGUGUUUCUGACAAGCUUGGUUUUAACAUCACACUGGCCACAGUUAGUUGUGUGCCUUUCCAGCUACCUGUAAGGUUAUUUAGAUCCAGAAUAGUUUUACAAAUGCAGUUGCUUACACAGAAGAUCCUGUGAAGGUGAAGGAUGAAGGUUCCUGUUACAGCCUAGGGAUGACCGAUCCACUGGCUGGGUAAGGAUGGUAACAAAAGCAGAAAGCCAUCUUUUUUAUUGCUAUUAAAACAGCAUUCAAACUCUGAUCCCACUGAGUUCAAGGCAGCUAGCUGAUCAGUUCUUAGCAUUUUGAGCAGCUUUUCUCCCACCUUAGAGGAGCAGAAGAAAUCUUGCCUGAUGUAGCAAGUGAGGGCUGAGCGGUGGUCAUCAAGUGUGGGCUCAUGAAUGGGCACUUCAGCCCCUUCCUGCACUGCUGUUUGGGCCCUGCUAAUGCUGUGCACCACGACUCACGCAAGGUUUUGUUCAAGAACAUGAAAGCAAAAUGGCCAGCUUGAAUCCUGAUCACCUUGUGGAAUACAGUAAUGUGCACAGAAACACAAUACAGCUGCUUGUAUUACAAUUCCUACUUUUAGCCCUUUUCAGAGCAGCAAAAGCGAGUAACAUGAAGUCCCAGUACAGCUGAAAUCUGGUUUUGUUAAGCUGCGGUGUCAAUCAGGUUGGCUAAGCUGACCUGGCUUCUGAGAUGGUAUGAGUUUGUUUAUUUUAGUUUAUUUUGUAAAUGUCCUCCUUUGCAAAUACAAUCUUAAAAAUCUAGGGAACUAUAAAAAGGAAACCUUUAAGCAUCCUUUUCUGUCCACCUUUCUGAACUACCUUGCUUAGGGACUGCUUAGGAGGAUGGAUUGACCCAGGAUGCUGUGGGAAUGCUGCACCCGGUUAAGGUCUCGCAUUCCUCUUCUGCGUGCAUUUAAGGAUG